UACAGAGGUCUCGAGCGUUAAUCGGAGUCACUGGGCUUAAAGGGUGCGUAGGCGGACUCGCAAGUGCUUUGUGAAAUCCCACGGCUCAACCGUGGAAUGGCUUGGCAGACUGCGGGUCUUGAGGUUGGUAGGGGCCGCCGGAACUCUAGGUGGAGCGGUGAAAUGCGUAGAUAUCUAGAGGAACGCCAAAGGUGAAGACAGGCGGCUGGGCCAAUUCUGACGCUGAGGCACGAAAGCGUGGGGAGCGAACAGG
rnacentral:rRNA from 1 species